UAUUGUAGAUGCAGUUCUCAUAUGCAUACCUUGCGCUGCAACCAAUUGGCAAGGAAAAUUUAAAAAUUAAUUUUUUAUUUAAAUCCACCCAGCUGAAAAGAAGCUUACCAACAAAAUUCCAUGAAUUUAUCGCUCACAUUGCGCGUGCUAUCGUGCAAGUCAUCUGUGAGUAUGUUUUCGAAAUUAUGAUUUCCAAGAAACCCGGAUAAAGCUGCAUAGAUACGUAAUUAACAGCAAGUCCUUGUUCCUCAUCCACAAGUGGCUUUGGAUUUGUUAUUCGUAUACACAUCCAUUGUUACAAGCAUACAGAUCUGUAACACGAUGGAAGCAGUACAUCUGCCAUCAAUUGUCUUUUUUUUUUUAAUAAUGAAUAUAUUUAGCUAUUCAUGUUUUCAAUGCUGUGUAUGGGUACAUGUUAUGUACGCCUCUGCUUAGAUAAAUUAAAUAAAGAUUAUAUGAUUGAAACAUUUAA